rnacentral:lncRNA from 1 species
UUGCGUACAAGUAGCACCGGUGAAGAGUAGAGGUUGCAACUUGAUCGAAUAACUCCUGUUUCGAGCAUCUCUUUUAUAAUCCUUUCUAUUUCAUCCUUCUGGGGAUUUAGAUACUGAUAUGGCCAAGUAUUUGCUGGAGGUUUGCCUAAAAGAAUCAUUAUAUAAUGAUCAUACCGACGGGUAAGAGGUAGGUUGUGCGGUUCG